GACGGAGGGUGCUAGCGUUGUUCGGAAUCACUGGGCGUAAAGCGCACGUAGGUGGGUCGCUGAGUCGGGGGUGAAAUCCUGGAGCUCAACUCCAGAACUGCCUUCGAUACUGGCGAUCUUCGAGUCCGGGAGAGGUGGGUGGAACUGCGAGUGUAGAGGUGAAAUUCGUAGAUAUUGGGAGGAACACCAGUGGCGAAGGCGGCUCACUGGACCGGUACUGACGCUGAGGCGCGAAAGCGUGGGGGAGCGAAACAGG
rnacentral:rRNA from 1 species